UGGGGAAUUUUGCACAAUGGGGGAAACCCUGAUGCAGCGACGCCGCGUGAUUUAGAAGGCCUUCGGGUUGUAAAAAUCUUUUCUAUGGGAAGAAAAUGACAGUACCAUAGGAAUAAGGACCGGCUAAUUACGUGCCAGCAGCCGCGGUAAUACGUAAGGUCCGAGCGUUGUCCGGAAUCAUUGGGCGUAAAGGGUACGUAGGCGGGUAAGCAAGUUAGAAGUGAAAUCCUAUAGCUCAACUAUAGUAAGCUUUUAAAACUGCUCUUCUUGAGGUAUGGAAGGGAAAGUGGAAUUCCUAGUGUAGCGGUGAAAUGCGCAGAUAUUAGGAGGAAUACCGGUGGCGAAGGCGACUUUCUGGCCAUAACCUGACGCUGAGGUACGAAAGCGUGGGUAGCAAACAGG
rnacentral:rRNA from 1 species